AGGCCAUAGGGAGGGCAUUCUUGGAGUAGAUCCUUGAAUCUCUCCAUAUAUUUAGAAAAUGACUCACUAAGCUUUUGCCUAAACUGAAGAAGAUCACUUCUAAGCUU